AGAGUUUGAUCCUGGCUCAGGACGAACGCUGGCGGCGUGCUUAACACAUGCAAGUCGAGCGGAAAGGCCCUUCGGGGUACUCGAGCGGCGAACGGGUGAGUAACACGUGAGCAACCUGCCCCUAGCUCUGGGAUAGCUCCGGGAAACCGGGAUUAAUACCAGAUACGACCACUCUAGACAUCUUUUGUGGUGGAAAGGAUUCCGGCUAGGGAUGGGCUCGCGGCCUAUCAGCUUGUUGGUGGGGUAACGGCCUACCAAGGCGACGACGGGUAGCCGGCCUGAGAGGGCGACCGGCCACACUGGGACUGAGACACGGCCCAGACUCCUACGGGAGGCAGCAGUGGGGAAUAUUGCGCAAUGGGCGAAAGCCUGACGCAGCGACGCCGCGUGGGGGAUGAAGGCCUUCGGGUUGUAAACCCCUUUCAGCAGGGACGAAGCGAAAGUGACGGUACCUGCAGAAGAAGCGCCGGCUAACUACGUGCCAGCAGCCGCGGUAACACGUAGGGCGCAAGCGUUGUCCGGAAUUAUUGGGCGUAAAGAGCUCGUAGGCGGUCUGUUGCGUCCGCUGUGAAAACUCGGGGCUUAACCCCGAGCCUGCAGUGGAUACGGGCAGACUAGAGGUAGGUAGGGGAGAAUGGAAUUCCCGGUGUAGCGGUGAAAUGCGCAGAUAUCAGGAGGAACACCGGUGGCGAAGGCGGUUCUCUGGGCCUUACCUGACGCUGAGGAGCGAAAGCGUGGGGAGCGAACAGGAUUAGAUACCCCGGUAGUCC
rnacentral:rRNA from 1 species